rnacentral:rRNA from 1 species
AUAUCAAUAAGCGGAGGAAGAGAAACCAACAGGGAUGCCCCUAGUAGCGGCGAGYGAAAAGGGUAGAGCUCAAGCCUAAAAUCKCGCUUCGCGAGUUGUGGUUUUCGCGUGGUCCCGAGCGCCGUCCGGGGGCAAGUGACUUUGGAAGUUGCUGCCGGAGAGGGUGAGAGCCCCGUCCCCCCGGAUGCCGGCGCACCGUUCGGGCCUCGUCGAGGAGUCGGAUUGCUUGAKAUCGCAAUCCCAAGUCGGUGGUGAAUCCCAUCCAAAGCUAAACACGUGCGCGAGGCCGAUAGAGAACAAGUACCGUGAGGGAAAGUUGAAAAGAACUCUGAAGAGAGAGUGCAAAGUAUAUGAAAUCGUUGCCGUGGAACGGUGCUCGUGUGCGCUCGAGAACCUCGGGUCGCGGCCGCGUAGGGACGGCAGUCCGCCCCCCCGCCGCGGCCGUGGCCCUGGA